UAACAAAAAAUGCCGAAUCCGUUACAGCAAAAGUAACGGUACGGGGGACGAUUUACUAUGGGGUGAAGGCUUGCCGAUGAUUGCGAGCACAGGGAAACCUAUUCCCGAACCCGACAACUAACCUCGGAGGCUUAUAGGAGGAACAUU
rnacentral:sRNA from 1 species